rnacentral:lncRNA from 1 species
CUAAAAAUAUCCCAAAAUGAAAACCGGGACUACGUUCGGCCGUUUUACAAGUUUAAGUAAGAAUUCAGUCGCGACCUACACUUAGCACACCGCGUUUGUGUAGAUUUUUUCUUGAAAAAAGAAAACCACCUCGAAAAUCCGACCAUGGGAGACGUAGAAGUGAGCUCCAACUUCACCAUCACCGAAAAGAAGACCAAGAAGGUCAAGAAGACGACCAAACAACGCAGAGGAAGUAACGAGCAAACCGAAGUUACCAUUCAAGAGCUCAAAAAUGGCAACCAGGGGUAUGUGUUGGCAUAAAACUUGACAGGGGAAAUCGAAAUUUUGACGACCACCUGUUACUUUUUCCACAAAAAGAAAUGCAAGUGACAAAGUGGUAGUGUCUCAGGUGUCGCUUUAAGUUUUCUGUGAUAAUUUGGGUUGAAGUGAAUUAUAGAGUGAACGCACUGUAUAAAUACAAAAGCUUAAAGACAGUUUUUUACUUAUUACACAAAUUUAUGCCACUUUAUUGAUACUGUAAAAUAGUACUCACUAAUGAAUCUUACUCUACUUUUCACUUUAAAAUAAUAUACCUCAGAAUACUGAACCUUUCGAAAACAUCACACUGCAUCCAAGAAAACCGACUGCAGUCUACAA